rnacentral:rRNA from 1 species
UACGAAGGACCCGAGCGUUAUCCGGAUUUAUUGGGUUUAAAGGGUGCGUAGGCGGAACUGUAAGUCAGCGGUGAAAUCCCAUAGCUUAACUAUGGAACUGCCAUUGAUACUGCAGAUCUUGAGUACAGAUGAAGUGGGCGGAAUGUGUCAUGUAGCGGUGAAAUGCAUAGAUAUGACACAGAACACCAAUUGCGAAGGCAGCUCACUAAACUGUAACUGACGCUGAUGCACGAAAGCGUGGGUAGCAAACAGG